UCAGGAUCUCUGUAACGAUCACGAGAGGUCGUCUUGG
rnacentral:sRNA from 1 species